AUUUAACCCCAAAAUCACGCAUUUUCUCUUGGAAAACACCCCAUUAUCCCGAAAAUCAUGCAUUUUCUCUCCAAAAAAUCCCCAUUACCCCAAAAAUCACACAUUUCCUCCUCAGAAAUCCCCAUUUAACCCCCAAAUGCAUGCAUUUUCUCUUAGAAAAUCCCCAUUUAACUCAAAAAUCUCGCCUUUUCUCUUGCAAAAUCACGCCAUUUACCCACAAAAUCACGCAUUUUCUCUCCCAAAAAUUACCCCAUUAUCCCAAGAAUCACCACAUUCCUCCUCAGAAAUCCCCUUUUAACCCCAAAAUCAUGCGUUUUCUCUUGGAAAAUCACGCAAUUACCCCAAAAUCAUGCAUUUUCUCUUGGAAAAUCCCCCAUUAUCCACAAAAUCACGCAUUUUCUCUCCAAAAAUACCCCAUUAUCCAAGAAUCACACAUUUUCUCCUCCAGAAAUCCCCAUUUUAAUCCCAAAAUCACGCAUUAUCUCUUGGAAAAUCCCCCCAUUUAACUCAAAAAUCUUGCCUUUUCUCUGGAAAAUCCCGCAUUACCCCAAAAUACGCAUUUUCUCUCCCAAAAUACCCCAUUAUCCACAAAUCACGCAUUAUUCUUGGAAAAUCCCCCAUUUAACCCAAAAUCACGCAUCUUCCCUUCCAAAAUACCCCUUUUAAACAAAAAUCCACACAUUUCCUCUUUGACAAUCC
rnacentral:lncRNA from 7 species